GACAGAGGUCCCGAGCGUUAGGCGGAAUCACUGGGCUUAAAGCGUGUGUAGGCGGAGUGCUAAGUACCUUGUGAAAUCCCACGGCUCAACCGUGGAACUGCUUGGUAUACUGGUUCUCUUGAGCCACCUAGGGGCAACCGGAACAAACGGUGGAGCGGUGAAAUGCGUAGAUAUCGUUUGGAACGCCAAUGGUGAAAAACAGGUUGCUGGGGGUGUGCUGACGCUGAGACACGAAAGCCAGGGGAGCAAACGGG
rnacentral:rRNA from 1 species